rnacentral:rRNA from 1 species
GUGUCAGCCGCCGCGGUAAUACAGAGGUCCCAAGCGUUGUUCGGAUUCACUGGGCGUAAAGGGUGCGUAGGUGGUGGGGUAAGUCUCGUGUGAAAGCUCGCGGCUCAACCGCGAAAAGUCACGGGAUACUAUUCUGCUGGAGGGUUGGAGGGGGGACUGGAAUUCUCGGUGUAGCAGUGAAAUGCGUAGAUAUCGAGAGGAACACCAGUGGCGAAGGCGAGUCCCUGGACAACACCUGACACUGAGGCACGAAAGCUAGGGGAGCAAACAGGAUUAGAUACCCCUGUAGUCC